CCGACCAGGACCAAACUGGCAGCCUAAGCAGGUACCCUGACCAAGAAUCAAAACUAUGACCUUUUGCUUUACAGGAUGACGCCCAACCAACUGAACCACACUGGUCAGAGUUAAAUCUCCAACUUUUAAGGGCGAAUGGCACCAGAUAUUGGACCUCAGCCCUUGAGUUUUGACUAAGAAAGAACUCAGAGCCCAGCAAAAGUUUAUUUAGAAAGUCACAGAUUUAGGAGAAGUGAGCCAUUUAAGAAGUGAGCCAGCUAGGCUGUGUGGGCUCAGGAAACAAGUCACGGAGGCAAAAGAAGAGCCCUUGGAGCUUAGGAGAAAUAAAGGCAAAGAACACUCGUCUAGGGGAAGCAGAGAAGGAACGGGCUGGGUAAUGCUCCAGAGAGAGCGUUCUGGGGAAAGAAGGGGGUGGGGAAAUGUAAGGGCUGCUCAGAGAGCUAGAGCCCUUUGUCUUGAGAGUUUUAUCUGCUUUCCAAAGGUGGGGAUUUCAGGGGUGGUCUCAGGAGGAUCUCAAUAGAAAAUUUAUCAGCUUUCCAGGUGUGUCCCCCGCAGGGUCAUAGUCUCCACUGAUUGGUUGGCACCAGGGCCAGGACAGGGGAUCAUUGAUGUCAGCCACGGCAUCACCUGGCCUUACUGCUUUUCUGGGCCUGGAGCUGAAAGACAGCUGAGGCCUAGGUGUUAUCUCUGGUGUGACCAGAACCCUGUCUCCUGGUGAUCAGACCCCAGGCUUUGUUCUUAAGGUUAUUUGAUAUGAGUCAGAACCUCAUUGUCCUGAGGGCUUCACGCUGAAGGGAGUGGCUGUGCAAGGGCUCUGAUGGGAGUCCUCCGAGGCUAUUUUCCAGCCCCCUAGUUCCUGCUCCAAUGGGGGGUCUACUGCAUAACUAGCAACAUGCCAGGAGAGGAAAGGUCACCCUGGGGGCGAGGUCCCACCUGAGCACCUGGGGCCUUCUGCCCUGGUGACCUUCCAUACCUGGCCUGUCGGUCCUGCUCUGCUCAUGCCUGCCCCACUGCUACUGCAUCUCACAACCGCCUGCGAGUGUGAUAAGCUUAGUGGAAGAGGGAGCUUUGUGCUCUGGUGGGAUGGAGGGUGGGGGCCGGAGGAAAAGGACACUCUAAUUCAGCUUGGAGUGGGAUAAAGAAGGGACAGUGUCAAGGAAGUCUCCCCAGAGAAGGUGACACUUAAACUGAAUCUUGAGAGACUGCGGGGGAGCAGAGGGGCGUACGCAAUGGGAAGGCAGGGAGGCAAUAGCUAGAUGGAUUCAUGAGCAAAGAAAAUGCCCGCUUAAUGCCAACUCUCCCAGAGUCUGCUUUGAGGAUUGGGGGGUUUUCCCUGGUGGGUCACACACACUACACGUGGCCAGCGGCAACCUGCCUCACCUGCCAGGAAGGCACUUUAUUUCAGGUUGUGCUUUGGGGCAUCCUUACCCUGGGUUUUGCUUUGUUUUGCCGCAAAAUAACUGCCCGGGGAGAUGAUGUCAUCCAGAUCCAUCCGAUGAACCCUCAGGUGCAGGGUGGAUAAAAGCAUUUAAUACAUUUUUUUGAUGCCACUAAUCUGAUAAUGAGGCUGCGGGUGCAGCGUUGUUCUGGUUUUGUGCCCUUGAGAGGCCACGCCAUGCAGCUCCGUUGAUAGAGGUUCUCGUCCUCCCUGUGACACUGCCUUUGACACACGGCUUCACAAGGCAGCUCGUCCGAAAGUUGCUGGUGACAGCAAAUCAUGGUCUCGUGGUUGCACUGGGAGCUGGGCAGACCAUGAGCACGGCCCUAAGUGAUGCCAGUUUCUUUGAUCUGCAAAACAAUACGUGGCUUAGGUGUUUUCUGGAACCAAUAACAACACAAUGGUGAGACCAUUGUCCUUAGACUAUGUGAUCCUGGGUUCACUGUUUCACGUUGCUACGCCUGAGUUUCCUCAUCAGAAAAUCAAGUGGGAGGACGAGGGGGUCUCAGAUCUCUCCCAGCUGCAACGAACUGAGGUCCUGUGACUGGCCUUUAAAGUGGCGGAAACCAGUGGCUGCUCUGAACUCAGGCCUCCCUGUGGGAAAUUUCCAUCCUGCAGGAAUUGUUCUUCCUGGUGCGGGCUGAUACACAACUCUGUUCUAAUCAAGCUGUCUGUGGACCCAGAUGCUCUGCUGGGUCUGCAGAACUGCCGGUCCUCCACACGGACGGUGCGUGCCGGCUCCCUGCCCACAGUGACUGCAUCCAGUGGUGUGCAGCCCUGGAGGACCCUGCCGAGCGGGCAGGGAACCGCAGUGGAAAUUCCCCCUCAAGGACUGGAAACAGACCGAGCACAGCCUUCGGAGUCCUUGCUGCUUGGCAUCUCCGAGACACAUUUCAACGCCCAGAGGCAGUCCAGAAGUCCACGCCGCAUUCAUGUUGGCAGCAUUGAGGCUGCUGGUCCAUUCUGCAAAGAGACACCUUUGUGAAACUGAGUGAAGAGAAACUCUGAAAGUCAGCCUGCUUUUCAAGUUCAAGAAGAAUUUUAUGCCCUGGCUGGGUAGGUCAGUCGGUUAGGGUGUCCUCUGGAAACGCCAAGGUUGUGGGUUUGAUCACCAGUCAGGGCACAGGCAAGAAUCACCCAGUGAGUGCAUGGGUAAGUGGGACCACAAAUCAAUCUCUUUCUCUUCUUCUCUUUCUAAAAACCAAUACAU